rnacentral:tRNA from 2 species
CCGCCGGUAGCUCAGUGGUCAGAGCGGCACCCUUAUAAGGUGAAGGCCGCGGGUUCAAUUCCCGCCCGGCGGA